UAUGUACUCCCUCCGUCCGGAAAUACUUGUCAUCAAAAUGGAUAAAGGGAGAUGUAUCUACCGGAAAUACUUGUCAUCAAAAUGGAUAAAAGGAGAUGUAUAUAUCUAGCUCUAGAUACAUCUCCUUUUAUCCAUUUUGAUGACAAGUAUUUCCGGACGGAGGGAGUAUACA
rfam:Triticum aestivum genome assembly, contig: Triticum_aestivum_CS42_TGACv1_scaffold_073642_1DL